CAAUCCCAGACGAAUCCAGUCGCCGCUAACCGGAAGUCUGCUGGAUAACGGGGAUAUGUACAGAUAUGGGAAACGCUAUUAAGACUGCACGCUUCCGGAGCAUCAAGAUUAAGGUGGUGAGGAAGUGUAUCGCUGGCCGUGCAAUGGUUUCUUACCUUAGUCAAGGUCUUCCCCAACCCAGCACCAAACAGACCCACCAUUCAGACCCUUCCACAUCUGUUACACCUCAACAGGUUGAAUACGAUGAUGUGGCACCUAGCUGUAGUUCAUGUUCUGAGACUGCAUACAGUAAGGCAAAGAAGUGAGAGAUUCAUGCCUGGGAUGCAGUCAAGGAUGACAUGCUUAAGGUGUCAUUUGGAUGUUCAGCACAAAUAACUACGCAGUGUGUUCUCUGCCUAGAAGAUGCUGAUUAUAGGUGCAUUGAGUGCAGCACAACUGCAGUCUUUUGUGAGGCUUGUCUGAAGAGGACUCACAGAAAUUCAUUGCACCUACCUGAUAAGUGGAAUAAUGCCUACUAUGAGCCAUCUUCCCUUGGGUUAUUCCUAUACUUACCUGAAGGCCAUAGCACCCAUGCUGUGUACAUGAAGGACAUGAAGGUCAUUGUCAGCACAGGACGACUCUGCACCGUCACUGUCAAUAUGUGUGCGUGUGAACCAGAAGCGUGCACUCUGCUAAGGUAUGGGCUCUGGCCAGCAACAGCCGACAAGCCCCGGACAGCCUUUUCCAUCCCUCUGCUAGAGCUUUUUGUUUGUCUGUCACUGGAGUGUCAGGUUUCUGUUGAUGGUUUUUGCAACACCCUACGCUGGAAAAACAACCUAAACCUUGCAGUGGUAAGUCAUUUUGCAGAGGUCAGUUAGAAGUUGUGUCUUUGAAGUGAACACUAGUUACUCUCAUGGAAGACUGACCAGUCCGCAUAGAUGUGACAAUUGGACCUUCUACUUUCAUUGUACUACAUCAUUAUUAUUCAUGGAACCGUCUAGGAUUAUGUGGUUGCAUGCAAAAUUAUUAUUGAUAUUUUUCUAUAAAAAUAA